UUUUUGUUUCCUGUGACAAGUUUUGCUUAACUAGCACAAGAGCCAGCCAUGCAGAGAAGUGUGCUCCUAUAGUGCAAAACAGAAUCUAUUUAAGAAGUUGGAAUACCUGCCCCUCCAGAAAUGAUAAAGAAAUCCAAAGAGAAGAUGUGAAAAGCUCAUCUUCAGCGUGACAUCCCUCAGUGACCAGAAUUUUGAGCUGACAAAGACAGAAACUCUUUCAUUUCAUCAUAUGAAUAUAGUGGACUGAAGUAGAACCUCCAAUAAGACAAAUACUGGCAUUUCCAGAUGAGAAAGUACGCCUGCAAUAUCUGAAAGUCAUCUUUCAAAAAAACUUGAAGUCGGGAUGCACAACAAGAUGUCAAGUAUAAUGCCAUCAGCCUACUGAAGUUGCUCUGCUACCUUGCAAUCUCUUUUAAUAAAUGGCAAUAUACAGUUUUGUAAGAAAUAAAUUAAGACUUCACUUAUUUCUGCUUGAUAGAAAUCGGCCACAGAUGAAUUCCAUCACUUUGCUCUAUGAAUGCUAUACCUCUCCAGACAAGGUAGAGUUUGUUCGCAUCAUUCCAAAUGCAUAAUACAAGUUCCCCAUGACUAUCAGCUACUAUGUACAGUGGGCAUUCCCUCUGUAUAAGAUACAAACAGAUUUGCAUCUGAGUUCCUGGAACUAUGUUCAACCCAAGUGCUAUUUCUUGAACACCAUGCAGAAAUCAGACUUAAUACAUUUGCAGUCAGCAGUCUGCCCCAAAGUUCUUCAUGACUGUACAUAUCUCACAUCUUUGUACUCCACCCAGUAGGCUCUAUGAAAGACUGGUAUUAUGUGAUAGCUGUUUAUAUAUACACACUCUACUUGACUACAUACAAGAUAAGAAUUGUGAUAUACAAUCACCUGAAUAUACGAUAUUAUAUAACACAACCAGGAAGUUGAUUUUUUUUAACAACUAAGCUCAACUACAACACAAGAAAUGCUAAAUAUUGUACAGAAUAAGAAUUAAAAGUAAUGAGUGGUCAGAAUAAUUGAAAAUUGUUUAAAAAAAAAAAAAAGGGCAAAUCACAAAAUCAGAUAUGUUUUUGUAUUUUAUAGUUACUUCACUUCCCCAGUACACAUGGACUUUCUUUUUGGCAGUGGUGGUGCAGAUCCUGUACCCUAUCUAAAUGGAUUCCAUGAGAUCACAUUUUGAAUUGUACCAAGUAGCAGCAGGACAUCGUCAGACAUAACAAGAUUGCAAUGCUUUGAGCUCAGUAGUUUUCUGAAGAGAUAUCCAAGUCCAUAGUUAGUGCAUGGGUUUUGAAUGUUUACUUCAAAUACACAGAAAAGGGCUUCAGCAGGAUUUAAAACACAGAAGAGAGGUUAAAACUGUUCAAGCACGGCCAUAUCAUGCCAGGAAGUUACUUUGCAGAGGUACCCUUGGAAUGGCAUGCCAAAAGAUGUCAGAUUCUACAGGAAAUUAAGCAUCUGAUAGCUUCAAUUAUUCAAUCUCAUAUGUGGUAAUUAAAAAAAAAAAUUUGCAUCCUAUAAUUUCCCUUUCACCUCUGAACUUUAAAAAGAAAAAAAUGCAAUUGCUCAUUGUGUUUAUUUAAUCGUAAGUUUAACUGUUUAUUUGAUGACAAAAUGAGACUCAUGGACUCUUAUCAAAUGCUGUUUUUUGAAUCCGUGGAUCAUUUAGUAAAGCAGUAUUACUCCUGGACAGGAAGAAAGGUAAAGAGAAGGAGAAGUGCAUUGUUCCUUGUGCUGAAAUUGGCUGGCACGUUCUAGGAAAAUGCUUACUUUGUGACAAAAAUUCAGUAAGAUACUACCUAAUUACUUGAAUCAGUACUGCAAUGGACAUAUGAGAAAGGAAGAUUUAGGCAAGAAGUUAUAUAUUUAAAUUUUUCUGUGGUAAAUUAAGAAUCUUAAAGCUUGGAUCUCCAUAAUGACACAAUGAUUUUCAUAACAAUACAAUUUGUCGCAAACCACAACAGGAAAGUGACAUUCAGAUGUUCCAUUCAGCAGUAGCUAGCCCCAGAUAGGAGCUGGGGCAGUGGGGAAUUAGGUGCUAUACUUGCCUAAUGAAUCAUACCUGUUCACAUUACUCAGGCACAGUACUUGUUCAAAAUGCUACUUGCACCUCAGUAAUACAGGAAUGUUUCUGUCUGUAGCCAACAAAGCAGAGUGCUGAGCCUUCAAAAUAUGUUUUAAAAUAAAUAAAUAUUCAAACUAGAAGAAAAGUCUGACAGUGAAAGUUUGCAGGUGCAGAUUUCAACUUCUCAGCCAGAGCAAGACUGAUUGCUCCUUUUUAUGGAAAAAGAACACAAGUUUGGUUCGCUACUGGUCUUGGCGAACUCAUUUAUAUGAUUAUUGUGCGUAAGAGUGAUAAUUCAUGUAACAACUAUAGAAAUCACAUGAAUUUUUAAAUACAUAAUCAAUUUGCAAUUUCUUAAAUUAAGUCAGCAAAAUUUUUAAGCUGUUAAAUGAUAAUGAUAAAUGAGGUUGUUUAUCGCUCCAGGAGUUUAUAGCACAACUGUUGGUUCUUAUGACAAGUUUGUUUAUGUUAGUAUUGGUCCCUGCAUUAGCUCUGCAUUGUUCCAGCUACUUGAUAACAAAGAAAACAAAAACUGCCUUGCUGACAGACUUUUAUACCAUGCACUUCUGACUUAGUGUCUUCUUUACAAAAUGAUUGGAGCAUUUUCAGUUUUAAAUAUCAAAUGUCCAAAUAAGCAAAAACAUUAACAAGUAAAUAACUACAUCAACAGCACAAGACUUUUCAGAUAAAAAAAAGCCAAAGUUUAUCAUUUUCUAGUGCUUUAGAAUCUGUGAAAGUUGUUUUGCCACCCAGAGUCACUUCUGGAGGUGAUCACACGCUUUAACCAAUCUAUACUUUAUUGCUUUAUACAAUCUCUUCAGUAUAUUUACUAACUGAAAGAAAAGCAUUAUGCCAUUAGCAACUGUCUUUAAAAUAUAAAGUCAGUUGAGCCUUGGACGUAUACAGAAGGAAAGGAAAAACAACCUAUCACCCCAGACAUCACACUGACUGCAACAAAAGCCAGCCAUUUAUUCAUCUUAGUGAGUCAUCUCUACUGACUACGUUCAUGCAUUAUCUUUCUUGCAAAGUACAACGUGCAGAAGCAGGGUAUGGCUUCGCUGGAUUUUGAAUAUAUUGUGUUACUGAUGUAACCAACGUAAAAUAUAGAACUGCAACAUAUUUGGUAUUACUAAGAAGUAAUUAGGAAUCACUGUGUUGUGAUUAACCUGGUCUAAAUGGAAAGACUGAAUCCUUAAGGCUAGAGACAUACCUGAAGUAUAAGGGGCUAUUGAGAUUUUAUAACAGCAGCAGUGGUGAGCAAGACAAGCUCAAACAAUGAGAGUAUGUGAGACACGUGGAUAAAAUAACAGAAAAAGGUCUUUGUACUUAUCUAUCAGGUUUCCUGCAGAAAUCAUUAGGGACAGGAAUAGAAAGAAAAGUAGUGAGGAAGAGUGACAUAAAACUUCACAGUGAGCCACAGGCAGCAGAUUUCUUUAAAUGACAGUAAACAGGGCUCUCAGGUACAUUCAUUCCCAUAACACUGCAUUUCAUGAUGCAUACUUUAAAAUAAAACAAACAGACUUUUUCAAGUAGUACAUGGUGAAUUGUGUAGCAUCAUUCUUUUCUUUAAGGAAGGGUUUCUUUUCUUAACAUGUGUAUGACUUCCUUUGAAAGGGUUUCUCAAAUUUAUAAACAUACCCAUACUUACGAUCUAUUGGUAGAGGAGAAAAAACAACAUCCCAACUAAUGUACUAAUGACAUUCAACUUUUAGAACUUCACCUAAGGACAAGGUGAAAAUAAAGAACUAAUGCCUCUUGCAACAUCUAGUUCUUAGAUGUUUCAAAACCUCAUCUUUUCAGGAAAGCAACAUGCUAUUUCAGUUCAGUUGGCACAUGCCCAGAAUAUAACAAGACCUGAACCCUGGGUAUACUUUUAUCAAAUACCUUUCUUCCACAUUUUCUUUUUACUCCUACUCCAGAUCAUUUCAAAAGCUUGAGAGUUGCAAAAAAAACCUGAGACUUUACUCCCACAUUGCAAAUACCAAGUCAAAAGAAUAUGCUGACAAAUAUAAAGGAUAUUAGUAACCAAAACCAAUUUAUGAAUGAGUUUUCUUCUCUAAAGUACUGAUUUAAAUUAAUCAGAUUCCUUGAUUAUUUGUGGAACUGGUUAAAGAAAACAGCAGCCCUGGAUUUCCAGGACCCUGUAAUUUCUAUAAAUUCACGUUACUAUUCAUUACAGCAGGUGAACAUGUUUCUAUGCUGAGCCUUUGCGAGCAUUGAUUCAAGCUCUCUAAAGGCCAAGGUAAGGCAGGGUACACAAAAUUCUUGUUAUGAUGGUUCAGAGGCAUUCUGAUAACUUUGGAAUAGUGUUAUAUGAUAUAUGUAUAUAUGCACACCCAUAUACACACACGCGAUUCUUAAUUUGCCGUCUGCACAAAGGGUAAAAAAUAAUAAAAUGCCAUUGAAUGGGUAAGUUCUGCUAGCCUCAGUGUAAACCAAGGGAAAAUUCAUACACUACUAAGACAAAAUAAAAUACAGAGUCUCUCUAGGGUUUUAGGUUUAUAUUAAAAAGCACAACCAUUAACAUCUGUUCAAAGGAAACAAGGACUGAGCUAGCAAUAGUGUUACAUUAAGUCAUUAUGCAAACUGAGAAACUUCAGAAAGUUACAUACGGUAUCUACUUGAAUAAGCAUAAUACCAGUUAACCCAGUGCAUGCUCAGCUCUCAUAAAAGUCAUAUGAUCCCAACAGCAUUUUUUGCAUGGUGGCAAGUGAUAAUUACUAGUCUUCAAAUCAGACUGAAGACCAGAACUGUUUCUCAUUAUCACCAACCAGAUAAGAGUGGGCUAGCAUGCAGAGCCAAUACUCUGGUUUCAUUUUGUUUUUCAUAUUUUGAUAGUUAGGAUUCAGGGACCAAAAAUCAUUUGUUUCCCCCAUCUUUAUGUUCUUUAUUUUCCCCACUCCACUUUCUCUAAGGCUUCACUGAAAUAAAGAAAUAUUUCUGCUUAUUUUUCUUCCCUUCUGUUUAUUUAUGGUUUUACAAUGUUUCUCAAACAAUACUAAGGAUGUUGCCUUUGCACAUCCCACUACCCCAGAUCUGGGUUGAUACGGCCAGCAAUUUUACAGCACCGAGAUGCAGGAACAACACAACAGUAUAGAAGUUGAAUUAACAGCUAAUGACAACUGUAAUGCUAUAAAAAGUGAUGGAACGUAUAACAAUAAUAGCAGAGUAGUACAAUCCUAGGCUACAAUAAAUGAGAACAGUCCCAAAUGCUGCAGCCAUAGAUGCAGAAACAAAGAAAGGAAAAACUGCUUACCUUGGAAGACCUUCAGUAGGAAGUGACCUCCCACAAGAUACUCUCACCUCCACUGCUAACCCUUAAAUGAAAUCUGGAAAGGGGGGGGAUCCUGGUUCCAUGCUUUCCAAUUACUCAGGUGCUCUGCAUGCAGCUCAGCUCUACUGGGUUGGCCCUGCCUUUCCACCACGUGCUUGCUCAAUCACUGUUUCAGGCCAUGACUUAGCAUUUCUGCUACAACAGUGACAAACAGGCACUUACCAUAGAUGAAUCGACCCAGACAAAAAACAAUGAAACAGUAUUAGAGCAAGGAUUUGAACUUCAAAUAAAAUUGCAAGUGCCUUUGUACCAUCACCGCAUGUUUAGAAGUAAGACUACUUGCUUAACUCAGUGCCCCAAAUCUAAACCAAGAAAUUUGCAAGUGAGAUAACUUGCAAGAAGUCUGCCUAGAAGCAAGGUCCAUAUCAUGAAAAUUCAAAUAGACCAGCAAAAUGAUGCUAACAGCUUUCUUAUCAAAAGCAAGCCAAACAGAAAGAGUGAAAUGAGCCCAUGCAUACCAGACAAGUAGCAAGCAUUCAGGAUCCUCGUUUUAGAAAAAUGAGCUCUCGAUCUAUAACCUAGUUAGCCUCAUCUAGAGCAGAAGAACUUUCAAUAGCAUUAGGAUGGCAGUACUGUAGCAAAACUACCUCAGACUUAGAGAAAUAAUAAGAAAAAUUUAGAGGAGAUGCACUGGGUCCUGAAGCUCUCUCAUAAAGGAAUAAGCUUUCUGAACAUACUUACUUACAGCACAUGAAAAAACAUCAAGAUGGAAAUCCCAAAUUCUGUCAUGGAAAUAGUUUCUACUUCUCACUGAGUCAGAAGCACAUAGAGUUCGCAGCAGCCUUAUUGCAAUAUUUCAGAAAAUGCUCAUGCAGAAGUACUUGCCUUACAACACCACUGAUCUAUUGCACCUUAGAAAGUUUCCUGGGAACCCUAAGGACCAUGAAACCUCCAAAACAACAGACCCUCAUGCUUCCCUUCCACAGUCAGAAGCAAAGCUGAGAUACCUUAAAUUAAUGCCAGCUGUGGCUGGGUUGAAUGCUACAAGUUUCCAGAGAGCACUGACUUGUUUUUAUUUUUUCAAUCAAAUGUGCCUUUCUGAAACCAAAAUCUACCGUUCCUUGUCAAAUAAAACAGUGUCAACUUUUCUGCAAAGCAAAUCUUUGUUCACACACAGGAAGAGGUACAACUGCUGUAUAUUUUAUAUAUGCAUAUAUACUAUAGGCUGAGUUUAAUAUAUUAAAUAGACACAAAGUACCUAUUUAAAUAUAUUAGUAUGUAUGAAAUAGGGAAAUACAUAGUCGAACCAGGAGGUAAUAAUGCUUGUAUCUAUCAAGGAGAUGGUAUUUUUCCUCAAAAUAUUAUUAUUAUUAUUAUUUAAUAUUCUCAUUUCUCUUCUGCUGUUUGUCAGCUGAAGAACUACACUACUACUGUAAGUUUUCUUCUCCAAAACACUAGCUAGAUCAGUUCAUUUCUCUUGGCAACUUUGGGAGCUUGAUCUCUUCACACUUUCACCUUUGUUAGAGUAAUCCGUCCUUCCAACUGAUUCAUCCAAAAUCUACAGAGCAGAUAAAAGAGCAACCAGUUGAGUCUUGGGCUCCCAAAUCAUUUUUAGCUCUCUAUCUUUCAACAUAUCUUCUCCUUGAAGAAAGUUUAGUAAGUUUAUAUUCUCCCUUACAGGAAUGCAAUUUGUUUCAGAAAAGAAAAGAAAAAAAUCAAGACUAACAUGAACAUCUAUUACAACUCAUCUGUUAGGAUAAUAAAAUUUCUAGUGAGGUUAUAAUAGUAGCUUUACCUCAUUUAUCUUUUAAAAUCUCUUCUUCCUGUCUUGGAAGGCAACAACAACAUAAGAUCAAAGAUAUGCUAGAUCACAGAAUCAUAGAAUCAUAGAAUCACAAGGUUGGAAACCACCUAUAAGAUCAUCUAG